GGCCUAGUAGUGUAAUGUUAACACUGCUCUAAUUGUAUCCAAUGAUUGUGGUACGCAGGAGUCCCUUGUUCGAGUCAAGGCUAGGCCA